UCUUACUAAUAAAAAAUCACUAUACAUGCGUUAUGACAAGGUGACAGUAAUUCAGUGAAUAGAGCUUGUACAGGGCAUAAACACCUCUUUGACCAAUAAUCGAUGUGUAUUGGUUGAAUAACAAAACGACCCUUAUUUAUUGUUACCCUGGCAACCCGCCGUGUUUGAUUGACGUUUGAUUUAAUAAUUUUGAUACAACUCAUAAUUCUAAUCUAAUAGAAACUCCAAAACCUCAGACAAAGAGGACUAGAAUUUUACAUAAAAAGCCACGUUCUGCAGUACAAAAGUUAGAAGAGGCAUCUCAAAUAGUGGAAAGUGCCAAACUCCGCAACACGGUAGUGUUCCAGUGUUUCCAGGAAGAGCACGAAACAAAACAAAGGCAGAUGGCUGAAACACAUGAGCUCAAACAGAAGCGACUCGCCGAAGCUCACGAAAGGGCUAGACAGAAGCAUCUUCUAAGGCUCAAAUUGUUACAGCAGCAAUUAAAUAAAUAAUUAUAUACUUAUAAAAAAAAUAAAACCCCCGUUUUAAAUGAAA